ACAGAGUUAGCCGGUGCUUAUUCUGUCGGUAACGUCAAAACAGCAAGGUAUUAACUUACUGCCCUUCCUCCCAACUUAAAGUGCUUUACAAUCCGAAGACCUUCUUCACACACGCGGCAUGGCUGGAUCAGGCUUUCGCCCAUUGUCCAAUAUUCCCCACUGCUGCCUCCCGUAGG
rnacentral:rRNA from 1 species